rnacentral:rRNA from 1 species
GUGCUCCCCCGCCAAUUCCUUUAAGUUUCAGCCUUGCGGCCGUACUUCCCAAGUGGCCCGCUUCGCGGCUUCCCUACGGCACCACGACGAUUCACGACCGUCGUGACACCUAGCGGGCAUCGUUUACGGCUAGGACUACCCGGGUAUCUAAUCCGGUUCGUGCCCCUAGCUUUCGUCCCUCACCGUCGGACCUGUUCUGGUAGGACGCCUUCGCCACCGGUGGUCCCCGGAGGAUUACAGGAUUUCACCCCUACCCCCCGAGUACCUCCUACCUCUCCCAGUCCCAAGCAAUGUAGUAUCCCAUGAAAGCCCAACGGUUAAGCCGCUGGAUUUCCCAGGGGACUUGCAAAGCCGGCUACGGACCCUUUAGACUCAAUAAUAUCGGCCACCACUCGAGCCGCCGGUAUUACCGCGGCGGCUGGCACCGGUCUUACCCGGCCCUUGCUAACAACCGUUUUUUAGACGGUUGGACAGGCACCCAAGGUGGAUGCCACUCGAUGUCCCCCUAUCGCAGUUGCCUGCAUUGUAGAGUUUUCGCGCCUGCUGCGCCCCGUAGGGCCUGGAUUCGUGUCUCAGAAUCCAUCUCCGGGCUCUUGCUCCCACAACCCGUACGGAUUACAGGCACGCCGGUACGUUACACCGGCGUCAACCUAAUCCGCCGCAGACCCAUCCAAAGGCGUUGCCUUUCGACCACCAAGCAUUCCAGCACUAGUGAUCCAUCCGGUAUUAUCCCCAGUUUCCCGGGGUUAUCCCAGACCCUUGGGCAGGUUAUCCACGUGUUACUGAGCCGU